rnacentral:rRNA from 2 species
GAUGAGGAAAGUGGACUUCCCACGUGUAGCGCUGAAAUGCGUAGAGAUGUGGAGGAACACCAGUGGCGAAGGCGACUUUCUCGCUCUGUAACUGACGCUGAGGCGCGAAAGCGUGGGGAGCAAACAGGAUUAGAUACCCUGGUAGUCCACGCCGUAAACGAUGAGUGUUAAGUGUUAGGGGGUUUCCGCCCCUUAGUGCUGCAGCUAACGCAUUAAGCAUUCCGCCUGGGGAGUACGGCCGCAAGGCUGAAACUCAAAGGAAUUGACGGGGGCCCGCACAAGCGGUGGAGCAUGUGGUUUAAUUGGAAGCAACGCGAAGAACCUUACCAGGUCUUGACAUCCCGCUGCCCGCCUUGGAGACAAGGCUUUCCCUUCGGGGACAGCGGUGACAGGUGGUGCAUGGUUGUCGUCAGCUCGUGUCGUGAGAUGUUGGGUUAAGUCCCGCAACGAGCGCAACCCUUGAUCUUAGUUGCCAGCAUUCAGUUGGGCACUUUAAGGUGACUGCCGGUGACAAACCGGAGGAAGGUGGGGAUGACGUCAAAUCAUCAUGCCCCUUAUGACCUGGGUUACACACGUGUUACAAUGGACGGUACAAAGGGCAGCCAACCCGCGAGGGGGAGCCAAUCCCAGAAAACCGUUUUCAGUUCGGAUUGCAGGUUGCAAUUCGCCUCCAGGAAGCCGGAAUCGUUAGUAAUCGUGGAUCACCAUGCCACGGUGAAUACGUUCCCGGCCCUUGUACACACCGCCCGUCACACCACGAGAGUUUGUAACACCCGAAGUCGGUGGGGUAACCCUAAGUGGAAGCCCAGC